CGUGAUAGGGGACACCGAGUGCCAGCAUCAUAUGCUGGCUGUCCGGAUGUGUAAAAUACAUCCGUUAGCAAGGGCCGGGCAAGACCGGUGCCAGCCGCCGCGGUAACACCGGCGGCCCGAGUGGUGAUCGUGAUUAUUGGGUCUAAAGGGUCCGUAGCCGGUUUGGUCAGUCCUCCGGGAAAUCUGAUAGCUCAACUAUUAGGCUUUCGGGGGAUACUGCCAGGCUUGGAACCGGGAGAGGUAAGAGGUACUACAGGGGUAGGA
rnacentral:rRNA from 1 species